rnacentral:rRNA from 1 species
AGAGUUUGAUCCUGGCUCAGGAUGAACGCUAGCUACAGGCUUAACACAUGCAAGUCGAGGGGAAACGACAUCGAAAGCUUGCUUUUGAUGGGCGUCGACCGGCGCACGGGUGAGUAACGCGUAUCCAACCUGCCCAUCACUUGGGGAUAACCUUGCGAAAGUAAGACUAAUACCCAAUGAUAUCUCUAGAAGGCAUCUGAAAGAGAUUAAAGAUUUAUCGGUGAUGGAUGGGGAUGCGUCUGAUUAGGCUUGUUGGCGGGGUAACAGCCACCAAAGCAACGAUCAGUAGGGGUUCUGAGAGGAAGGUCCCCANAUUGGAACUGAGACACGGUCCAAACUCCUACGGGAGGCA